rnacentral:rRNA from 1 species
UACGGGGGGAGCAAGCGUUGUUCGGAUUUACUGGGCGUAAAGGGCGCGUAGGCGGCGCAACAAGUCACUUGUGAAAUCUCCGGGCUUAACCCGGAGCGGCCAAGUGAUACUGUCGUGCUAGAGUGCGGAAGGGGCUACUGGAAUUCUCGGUGUAGCGGUGAAAUGCGUAGAUAUCGGGAGGAACACCUAUGGCGAAAGCACCUGCCUGGGCUUCUAUUGACGCUAAGACUCGAAAGCUGGGGGAGCAAACAGG